rnacentral:rRNA from 1 species
AUGGCGGAGGAGCUUCUAUGGGAGCUCGGGACGGAGUUGGAGGCGUGCGAGGCGGCAGCUGAAGCUGGGCACGACAACGAGGUUUUCAGGCACGCGGGGUGCUCGGCGGCGCAGGAAAGCGAGGGAGGCCGGAGUUGGGCGCAGGUGGGUCACGAAGACGGGCCGAGUGGGCGCUGCUCCUGUCGGCGCGCCAUGGCUCCUGUCCUGCGACGGUUCAGAGAGAGGGAGAGAAACGCGUGA